rnacentral:ncRNA from 1 species
GUAAUUAUUUUUAUUUAUUUUAAUAAUUAGUAAAAAUUUAUUUAUUGUAGUAAUUAAUAUUAAAAAUUUAAGAAAUUAAGAUUUAGUUAUAUAAAAAUUAAUAACAAAUUUUGUGCCAGCAGUUGCGGUUAUACAAAAUAUUAAAUUAAAUUUUAUUAGUUUAAUAAAUAAAAUUUUUGGUGAAAUUUUUUAAAUUAUAAGUUAUUAGGUGAAAUUUUAAUUUAUUUAAAAAAAAUUUAUUUUUUUUUUGAUUUUAAUAAAUUUAUUUAUAAACUAGGAUUAGAUACCCUAUUAUUUUAAAUUUAAAUUAAUUUAUACUAAAAUAGUAAAUAUGUAUAUAUUAAAACUUAAAUUAUUUGGCGGUAUUUUAGUUUAUUUAGAGGAAUCUGUUUAAUAAUUGAUAAUCCACGAAUAAAUUUACUUAAUUUAAUUAUUUUAUAUAUCGUUGUUAAAAAAAUAUUUUUAAAUAAUUAAUAAUAUUUUAAAAUUAAAAAUUUAAAUUAAAUCAGAUCAAGAUAUAGAAUAUAAUUAAGAAUAUAAUGGAUUACAAUAAAUUUAUUUAUUAUGAAUAUUAAAAUUGAAAUAUUUAAUUGAAGGUGGAUUUAAAUGUAAUUUUAUUUAGUUUAUUAAAAUGAUUAAUAAUUAGAAUAUGUACAUAUUGCCCGUCGCUUUCAUUUAUAAAUUGGAAUAAGUCGUAACAAAGUAGGGGUACUGGAAAGUGUUUCUAGAAAGUU